rnacentral:misc_RNA from 1 species
UUGCUGGCUUUGUCAAGCUGAGCAAAAUUUCAGUUGAUGUUUUGAUAGUUAUUUUCUUUUUUGUCUGAAGAUUUCACAUCUUUGAAGUUUCUACAAGCUCAAACACAUUGGCUGAAGCAUUCAGACGUGCUCAUAUUACAAAGUAAUGAAAAUUUCCAUUUAUCAGAGGAACCACAUCUAAAGACACCUAGUAAUCAUUUCAUAUAUAUUUUAACUUUUAUUGAUAGUUUUAUUCACGGUUCUUGGGUAGAAGUAUUUGGUAAGCAUAUGAACGACUUAAGA